CGGGGGAGCCGCUGGUGUGUUGAAAGGAGCCGAGGAGGAGGAGGAGAGAAGAGAAUCUGUUUCUGUUGCGUGUGGACCACAGCUUGCUGCAGCAGGGGGGGCAACGGACGAGUCUCAGCCAAGGGAGACAAAAAAAACCUCCAGUCAGUCAGGAAGCCAUCACGUAAAGCAGAGACUAAAAACAUAACCUGGAGGAUAUCGCUGCCCUUGAUCGCCAGACGGAGUGGAUCUCUGAGGAUACGCUGACGUAAAAAAAGAGCUAAAGGCUAACAGUCGACCCUCAAAGCUACCCGACGGCCGUGGAUGUGCUGCACGCCCCCGCGUCGAACCGUACGUCCUGAACUCCGAGCGUAGAGGAAGCCUUCGCCGUCCCGGGAGAGAAAGCUUGUGAUUGGCUGUCGGGCAGACAUGGGCAGGAAGUGGGCGUCGGGCGUCGGCCCCUGGCUGACGAUGCUCCUCGUUCACCUGACGUCCGCGCUGGAAGUGCCGCUGGAUCGUAAGUCCGAUCUAUUUAUAUAUGUGUAGACCGUUUCCACGGGUUACUCAGAGUCAGCGUAUGUAGGACACGGCACUUCUUCAGUUGUUUUUUUUUGAGAAAUAUAUUUAACAUGUUUUUAACACACAGACUUAUACAAUUAUGCACAUAGAAAACAAAUUAGUACAAGCAAAUAAUAAUAAUAAUAAAAAAU
ensembl:lncRNA